UUUCGGCUCGAACGUGAUAUGAGGAGGAGAAAAUAUUUUGUUAUGUAGGCAUCAAAACGUAAAUAUCGCAGUUUUGUACUUUGGAAAAUGAGCACUUUGAACUUGACGUCGAAGUUUCUUCGCAAAGAUAUGGCGAGGAAAACAAGAAAACUUGCGUGUAUCAAAUGCGGUAAAUAUCAACCGCCACUUCGAUUGACCCUCGUUUGCUUCGUUUGAAAGAGAAAUGUGGUUUGGGGGACAUUGACAGCAUCACGAAAGUUUACAAAAGUGCCGCCAGAGACAUCUUACUAGACUGAUGUACCAUGGGUUUACAGAAUUCUGUCAGUCCUUCCUUCAAAAGUUUCCAGGAUACUACAUUUGGCCUCUACACUUAAAUGGCAGUGCUCUGGAAACCAUCUUCAGCCAGCUAAAGAUCAACAUGAAUGGUCACUUAACUUUAGUUAACUAUGCCCCUGCUCUCACAACAUUGAAGUUUAAACGACAAAUGCAUGGUCGGAGAGGAAAGUAUGUUUACAGGAGGACCCCCCUCUUUCUAAGAGAACUCUGUCUCAAGAGAUGCAGAUGUUGAGAAAUUUGAACUUAACUGUCUGGUCUCUACAAAUGGCUGAUUGCAACAGUUCAAUAUUUUGGGACACCUUGAUGCAUAGUUCUACAACAGUAGAUUUCCAAAACAUAAGUAGUCACAUCAUGCCUUUGUUCGACAUUUUACCUCUCUUUGUAAUUUAAUGUAUCAGUGAAGUCAAAUUUAGUCCAGUUCAGCUCUGCCCAUAUACAACAAGUCCUGUUGUGCAUUGUACUGCAUUUGUAUAUACAGUGGAACCCCGCCUAACAGUCACCACGCUAAUAUGGUCACCUUGUUAUUAUGGCCACUUUAUUUUGUCCUGGCGAAAGGCCUACACAUUUUCUUAUAAGGAAGUUCUGUUAAUGUGACUACCCUGUUAACAUGGUCAACGGCCAAACCUGUAUAAUCCUUUAUAAUUUAACCCCAUAUAUAUAGCCACUCAAACCAGUUAUGGUCAUCUUUCUAUUGUUAAUAUGUUAUACACUGAUUCAAGUUUCAGUUUUUUAAAAAUUAUAUCUGCAUUCCAGAUGGUAUUAAAGAGUAGUUGUUUAGAAGUGCAAUCAUGCUAUAUUUGUUAAGAUUUUCAUGGACCAAAAUUUUGUUGGACCAUUUGUGACUGUAUUAAUAGGGUUCCAUUGUAAUAAAUAAUUAUUCUCAUCAAUCAUGUUACACGGGCUUUACCUUGGGUGAAGCUGCAUAGCUAUCUGGAUAUAGAGGAACUUGCUACUUCGCUUUUUACAUGAAAUCCUAACUGUUGUUGCCACAGGCAUCACUUUUCAAAAUUCUCUGACUUUUCCCUGACUUUUCCAUGACUUCCCUGAUAAAAAUAAGAUCUCCCUGACCAAUAAAAACAUCAGAUCUUGUAG